rnacentral:rRNA from 1 species
GACGUAGGGCGCGAGCGUUGUCCGGAUUUAUUGGGCGUAAAGAGCUCGUAGGCGGCUUGUCGCGUCGACUGUGAAAUCUCAGGGCUCAACUCUGACAUUGCAGUCGAUACGGGCAGGCUAGAGUUCGGUAGGGGAGACUGGAAUUCUCGGUGUAGUGGUGAAAUGCGUAGAUAUCGGGAGGAACACCAGUGGCGAAGGCGACUACCUGGCCUGUUUCUUGACGCUGAGGCGCGAAAGCUAGGGGAGCAAACGGG